rnacentral:piRNA from 1 species
UGACACCCUUGACGGCAAAAG